ACCAUGUCUAAUGGCCCCUGCUGAGACAAGCGUCCUGCUCCCUGCUGCUCCCAGCACCAGUUGGCAUCAAGAGGAUUGUGGAUAAAUAAAAACCAUAGAAAUUGGGGCUUGAAAUGUUGGGGUGUAGCCUCCCCCAAAACCUUAAACCCGCAUCUGUUGCUUGCUGUUGUCAUGUACAUGAAAGUUGAUCACACAUGGGAUAAGAUGUGUCUCCUCAGCUCCUCUCUGUUUCAACACAAACAUGGCAGAAUAUUUCCUUUCUUCAAUCUUAUUUUAUUAGAUGGAUUUUUUUACAUUUUAAUCUUUUUGUCUAUGUUGGCGUUAAUGCUGAGGUUCUGUAGGCCUUGUUUCCACUUAGUGCUUGAAUAGUGGGUAAUCUCACUUGCUGGUAACAUCCUGAAGAAGAUGUCACUGAGGGGUUCCUGGCAAGUUGCUCCAACGACCUUUCCACUGAUUCUCACCUCUAUUAAAGAUUUAUACAUUGAAUUAUUUAACACAUAGGAACUUCAUACUAUGGUAAACAGUAACUACCCAUUGCUAGCAGUAUUUAUUUUAUUUUAUUGGAAACUAUGUUUUGGAUGGAAUUGUAAUUGUAAUUGUAGGUCGGCAAUGCAGUAGAACGAAGACGUUAAUGGAUUGUAAUGUUAGAUGCUGUAUUUGUUGUGCUUGACCCAUUGUUCUCAACUAGGAGGUAGAAUCCCCUUAUAUUUCAACCCUGCAACAGCACAGGCAGAAGUGUACAAUAGUUACUGCCAGUGCCCUCCCUAUGUCUGUCUAUUACCACUGUGAACAGAGGGCCCCAGGGCCCUGGUGGAUUGUAAUGAAAUUUGCUGUAUUUGUUGAAUGUGAACACUUAUUUCAACAUUAUAGGAGUAAGGACAGGUAUUUCUUUAUUUUUUACUUCAGUUUAUUUUAGUAAAUACAUUCUUAACACUUAUUUUUCUUAAAACUGCAUUGUUGGUUAACGGCUUGUAAGUAAGAAAUUCACUGUAAGGUCUACACCUGUUGUAUUCGGCAAAUGUGACAAACAAAAUGUAAUUCGAUUUUUAAUUUGAGGUAGAAAUGUAUUGUAUCCCCCUCAUGUCUACAUGUUACAGAGGAACCCAGGGCCCUGGUGGCUCACCUUGCCUUGCACCUACUACUAUUGUCUCUGCAAGGAUGUAGGAUCAGGCCCUUUGGCUGAGUAGAGGUCAGAGGACACAAUCCUAUGUGCACACAAGUGGGUUUAAAGUGCCCCCUCCUUUCACAGAGGAAGAAAAGAGACCCUCCCCUCAGCAUAUAGCAUCAAUUCCAGCAGCUUCCCAAGGGACCAAGUUCUUUCUCUUGCAUCCGGGUGCUGUUCCUCUCGCUCUCUUGCUCUCUCUCACUUUCUCACAGACAAACACACACAGCCUAAUGUAACCAAUCACAACAGAGCUUGAUGAGUAACCCCAGCCUUUCGUAAGCCCUCCUGGCAGUGACUGAGACCUGUGACUUCCCCAGUACACGUGAACCCAUUGGGAGAGAAUAGGCUUUGCACAUGUAAUCCUUGUCUCUAUGUUUAUUUUUGGUGCCUAGACUCUUUCCUUCAGUGGGGAGAAUGUGUGCACGCAAAAGGCCUGAUGAAUCUGCACUGUGUGUGGGAGUGUGUGUGUGUGUGUGUGUGUGUGUGUGUGUGUGUGUGUGUGUGUGUGUGUGUGUGUGUGUGUGUGUGUGUGUGUGUGUGAUUUAUACCAUUUAUAUGUACUGUAAUGACAAUCUAACUAUUGUGGGAAGGGAUUCAAAUGAAAUAUCUCAGUAUUCAUGUAGUAUUGAAAAGCACAUUUCAAGUACUCCUGAUAAUCUGGUAAUACAAAUAUAGAUCAUUUUAACAAAAUGAAAGGGUGCAGGAACAAUAGUUAUAUUUUUUCCCAUAGUGCACGUUUCUCACAAUAUGCAACGUGGUCAUGAUUGAAUCUUGCCCAACAAGUAUUAUUAUGUUACUGUAUAUUUUUUAUUACACAGAUUACACUCUGAAUAUUUUCCCACAUCAUCACCUUAGUUUUCAACACAAACAAUUAAAAUCAGACUAGUGUCAGUGGUAUUUCUCUGAAAUUCUAUCCUCCAUUAUGAGUGUUUUGUCAAAGUAACGCCCACAAACCAUAUAGAACCAGUUGAUGGCUUGACAAUGCCUCUUUUGUCAUUGGAUAAUUUGAUCAAUAAUCAUAGUAUGCACCUUCUUUUUUUUCUCUCGAAGAGCUACUGUUUUCAGAAAUAUAUACAUUUCUGAAGAUUCCUAUUGUGGAUCUGAAAAUCUAUGUGUUAUGCACUUAUUAUCAUAGUAAUUGAAAUAUACUUUAUGCACUUUGUCUAUUUAUGAUUUAUCAGUGGGUUUCACAGUAACAGUAUUUUGAAUUGUUUUAUUUCUAAAUUAAAUGUAAUUCUUUUCUUUAAGGCCCAGUGAAGUCACCAUGCGGUAAAUUGGUUAAUAGACCAAUAACAAAGAGAGCUCCAAACCUCUGCCAAUAACAGCUAGUUUUCUGUGUUACCCUCCCCACUCAGACCACUCCCAGACAGUCCUAGCAAAAUUCUUGCUUGAGAAAUUGUUUUUUUUGCUAAAAAGCUGUUUUGGUCCAUUUGAAUGGAAAUCUAUUACAAUAAGGUACUUAAUUGUUACCCAGAAAUGAUUUGAUAUUGAUUUAAAAAUGGCUGCAUUGGGCCUUCAAUAUAAUUGUUUUGCCUUGGAAUCUACAUUUACAAUAAUGUACUGUUAUCCAUUCAGACCUUGCAUAUUGACUUGGAUACUGAAUAUAAUGUCUUAAUGUUUACACCCUGACUGUUCAUCAGAACGUAUUGAGGUCAAAACAGAUCUACAGGAUUUUUUGGGGAACAAAUGUAAUUUAUCACUGAUGUAAUUCUAGUAAUAUUUUUGUAUAAACGAUCAUUGGCAUGUCACAUCUAGGCCUAGUGUUCAUUAUAUAUUCCUGCCAAUACAAUUCCCUUAAAAACAAUAUUGUAAAUAAAGAUGUGAAACGAAUCUCUGUGUCCACAUAAUAAUGUCACCUGAAGGUUA
rnacentral:lncRNA from 1 species